rnacentral:rRNA from 1 species
CUUCUGAGUAGAUUUCCGUUAAGGAGACCUUUUGGCACCUCUAAAAAUGGUGCAGAAUAAGGGGUGGGCAAGUCUGGUGUCAGCCGCCGCGGUAAUACCAGCACCCCGAGUGGUCGGGACGUUUAUUGGGCCUAAAGCAUCCGUAGCCGGUUCUACAAGUCUUCCGUUAAAUCCACCUGCUUAACAGAUGGGCUGCGGAAGAUACUAUAGAGCUAGGAGGCGGGAGAGGCAAGCGGUACUCGAUGGGUAGGGGUAAAAUCCGUUGAUCCAUUGAAGACCACCAGUGGCGAAGGCGGCUUGCCAGAACGCGCUCGACGGUGAGGGAUGAAAGCUGGGGGAGCAAACCGGAUUAGAUACCCGGGUAGUCCCAGCUGUAAACGAUGCAGACUCGGUGAUGAGUUGGCUUAUUGCUAACUCAGUGCCGCAGGGAAGCCGUUAAGUUUGCCGCCUGGGGAGUACGGUCGCAAGACUGAAACUUAAAGGAAUUGGCGGGGGGAGCACA